ensembl:misc_RNA Metazoa_SRP Metazoan signal recognition particle RNA
GCUGGGCGUCGUGGCGGGUGCCUGUAGUCCCAACUACUCAGGAGGCUGAGGCAGGAGAAUUGCUUGAACCUGGGAGCCAGAGGUUGUAGUGAUCCAAGAUCGUGCCACUGAAUUCCAGCCUGGGUGACAGAGCAAGACUCUGUCUCAA